rnacentral:lncRNA from 8 species
CAACGUGGGGUUCUUGAGGAGAUGACUGGUCCAGUAUGUGGGGUUCGAUCAUCUCACACUCAGAGGGACGAUAUCCAAAACAUAAUUCACAGGAUCAAGUCUGCUGAGCUGGCCCACCUUCUCCACGCACACUACCCAGAGAGGGUGAGAAUUUACACACACUCGAGCACACACACACGCAUGCACACACACACACACACACACACACACACACACACACACACACACACACACACACACACACACACACACACACACACACACACACACACACACACACACACACACACACAUAAAUACUAACACUGACUUCUCCUGUGUCUCUUGUAUGGUAAAAGUGUAGGAAGCUGUUUUGAGGGUCUGAUGUCUGUUCAAUCACUCAGGACUCUGUUGGCAGUUGUGCUGUUGAGACCCUGGAGAGGCCAAAUCCCCACAGCCAGCAGUCACUGCCUAGCAUCAAGCAGCAGCUGGUUAAUGUGUAUACUGAAGGAACUGGAGCUGCAGACGACUCUGUGGGAGGAGAGAGAGGAGAAGGUGGCGGAACAGCGGAGGCUACGGGAGCAGCAGGAGCAGAAGCAGAAGCCCCAGGUCAAGAGGGAAGCUGUGGUGAACUGGUGGAGAGCCCUUAAGGUGGAGGGGAGUAGGACCAAGGCCAAGCCUGAAGACACCCUGACCCAGCCCAGCCAGGUCCUCACUGAGACAGAGUCCAAGCUCCAACAGGCAGAGCACACCAUCACAAAGAUUAAGGAACAGGUAUGCCACCUUGAGGCGGCUCUGAGAACUGCCCAGGAGGGCGUAGCUGAGCACAGAAACAUUCAGGACAGGGUGAGAGUUCUUCACAACGACAAGGAGACCAACACGGUGAGAGAGGGACCUGGCUGGACUGGAGAGGAGGCAUCAAAGGAGCGUAAGGACGUGGCUGUGGCUACAGACCCUGUGGAGGACCCAGGUAGAUCAGAGAAGGUAGCAGGCCAGUUUGUGACCUCAGAGGGUCUGCUGGUGACCCUCAGGAGGAUGGAGGCCAUGGUCAGCAGUGCCUUGGAGGCAGCUGAGCUGGUUAGGGAGAGUCAGCGAAGGGUCAGCCAGGUCAAGGAGAGGAUGGAGAGCAUCACUCAGAAGAUGGAGGAAGCUCUGACCAGAGCAGGGGACACAGAGGGUCAGCUCAGUGCCCUGGAGGCCAGGGUCACAGCCAAACCUCAGGUCAGUUUGCAUAGUCUUUUCUGUGUAUUACAAGAAUAGUGAGCUCAAAUUAGCCCUGACAGUAAAAGUUUUCAUGAAUCUGCAUUUUGAAUAUGCAGCCCCACAUAUAUGCUCACACGUCUGCUUUUGCAAUGAUUACCAAUGAUCUACUAGGCUGUAUUUGUUUUCCUCCUGUAAAACUCUUAAAAGUUAUUUACAGCUGUUUCAUUUGCAUUUCCUCUCUCUCUUCUGUUCCGAAGUUGCCAGGUCCGAUAGGGCAGACAGCCCAGCCUGAUGUUGAAGCUAUAGGCAGAGACACACCCAGGAACCCCUCUCCUCCAGAGCCUGUGACCGAAAGCUACAGCAAGUCUCGAUGGCCCCUUAUAAGCGGUAUGAUGAGACUACUACUACUGAAAUACAGGGCAAACACAGCAUUUGUAUGUCACUGACUGUAGCAGUAUUAAUUAGCCUACCCUACUGUAAGAGCAGAAACACAGAGGGAAACAAAUUCGUUAGCCACUUUCCUUUUUAUUAGUAAUCGCUGGGGAUGCUACUGAAAUAGACCCAGCAGACUGUAACGUACACAAAGCAGCUGGCGCAGAGGCUGAAGGCCCCUUGGUGAGUGUCACUCAUCAUGAAGGGUUUACUGUGACCAUCAUGGGCCUUGCCCUUGUUUUCUGUGUCUCAGGAGCCCAAGCCCUAUUAUCUGGGGAGGAAUAGAGGAAGCCCCUCAGUAGAAACACCAGGAUGUAAACAGUGAACAUUUGGUGUGGUUUGC